rnacentral:rRNA from 1 species
CCUACGGGAGGCAGCAGUGGGGAAUUUUGGACAAUGGGCGCAAGCCUGAUCCAGCAAUGCCGCGUGAGUGAAGAAGGCCUUCGGGUUGUAAAGCUCUUUUGUCAGGGAAGAAACGGUGGGGGCUAAUAUCUCCUGCUAAUGACGGUACCUGAAGAAUAAGCACCGGCUAACUACGUGCCAGCAGCCGCGGUAAUACGUAGGGUGCAAGCGUUAAUCGGAAUUACUGGGCGUAAAGCGUGCGCAGGCGGUUUUGUAAGUUUGUCGUGAAAUCCCCGGGCUCAACCUGGGAAUGGCGAUGAAGACUGCAAGGCUAGAAUCUGGCAGAGGGGGGUAGAAUUCCACGUGUAGCAGUGAAAUGUGUAGAGAUGUGGAGGAACACCGAUGGCGAAGGCAGCCCCCUGGGUCAAGAUUGACGCUCAUGCACGAAAGCGUGGGGAGCAAACAGGAUUAGAUACCCUGGUAGUCCACGCCCUAAACGAUGUCUACUAGUUGUCGGGUUUUAAUUAACUUGGUAACGCAGCUAACGCGUGAAGUAGACCGCCUGGGGAGUACGGUCGCAAGAUUAAAACUCAAAUGAAUUGACGG